rnacentral:rRNA from 1 species
GAUGAACGCUGGCGGCGUGCCUAAUACAUGCAAGUCGAACGCAUUGAGAGAAGUGCUUGCACUUUUCAAUUUGAGUGGCGAACGGGAGAGUAACAAGUGUGCAAACUACCUGAUAGCGGGGGAUAACGAGUGGAAACAUUCGCUCAUACCGCCUAACAAUCGAGAAGGAAUAUCAUGAAUUUAAACGGAGCUUUCACGCGUCACAACCAGAUGGGCCCGCGGUGAAUUAGUUAGUUGGUGGGGUGAAGGCCUACCAAGACGAUGAUGUGUAGCCGAGUUGAGAGGCUGAUCGGCCACAUUGGGACUGAGACACGGCCCAAACUCCUACGGGAGGCUGCAGUAGGGAAUCUUCCACAAUGGACGAAAGUCUGAUGGAGCAACGCCGCGUGUGUGAUGAAGGCUUUCGGGUCGUAAAGCACUGUUGUAUGGGAAGAAAUGCUAGGCUAUGAAAUGAGCUUAUUUUGACGGUACCAUACCAGAAAGGGACGGCUAAAUACGUGCCAGCCGCCGCAGUAA